AUGAUUUUCUUAUUGUUAAAUGAAUCAGGAACCUUCUCCUCUCCUCAAUCUCCUUCACUUGCCUUCUCUCUCCUCACCGACACUCCCUCUCUCCCAACCUCUAACACCCUUCUCUCUCUCUCCUGAGCCGCGCACCACCAGCGCCUCCACCGUACUCCGUUCUCCUUCGUCGAUGUUGCUGAAUAUGUGUGUUGAUUUGUUUCUGCCACCUUCCUUGCUCUACCUCCUCCUCGUGCUCUGCGUCGCUGCCGCCACCGACGGUGGCGUUUCAGGAUCUCCAUUCUUGCUACACUACUUGAUUGGUAAUUUCUUAAACUCUAAUUUAUUGAAUUCAAGUAAAACCCCCAAAUUGAACGAAACCCUAACUUUCUCUUUUUGGUUUUCUCUCUCUCCUCUUGUUCGGUGCGCCCUUCCUCCGCCGGAGCCGUGCUUUGGUGGUGGUGAUGCCCACCCUAUACGUGGUGGUUGUUAGUUGUCUGAUGUUGUUGUUCUUCUCCCUCCCUCCACUUGCUCUUCCCUGUUAUCUAUGUGGCUCUCCGCCAGGCUCCCCCACUGCGGCGGUGCGGCGUAGCUGCUAGUGGUGGGGCGGUGCGACAUGGCUGCUAUUGCUGCUGCUUCGUGGUCACUUUGUUGUUGAUCUGAAAGCUCAUGUUGCUAAUUCUGCCUUCUAUGUUAAGGGUAUAACUCAACCCACACUUUAUUCUAUCUAUCUUUCAGUUUAUCCAUUUCCAUAAAGUUAUGAGAAUUUAAUUUGUUAUUGAUUAUUAGUUUGAUUUCAUAGAAAUGAUUUUCUGAAUAUCGAAUUAAACAAGUUUUGAUAAUGUAGUUGAGAAAUUCAGAUUUUGUUUCGAGAAAGUUUUUGAAUAGCUAUGUAAUUAAGAUUUUCCAAUUUGGUAAUUUGAUCGAUUAAUAUUCAUCAAGUAUAUAUAAUUUAAUUGUUGAACUAUAUGUUUCAAUUACGGAUUAUAAUUAGCCAUCCAAUACGGCUUUCUUAAAAUAAAAUAUGUACUAUGUUAGUUCUAAAUUAAGUUUUUCGAAAAUCAAUUAAGAUUUCAAAAAAGAAUUCAUUAAGUUCUAGAUAGAUUAGAGUGAGUAGUUUAUUUAUUUUGAGUCUUUCUUGUUGAGGUGAAUUGAUGGAGAAUGGUUUAAGAAGAUUUGAGUCAUAAAGUUAAGCGGAGAAUGAUGACCGACUGAGGAUCAUUGGAGCUAAGGUGCUUAGGAGUUGAGAGUCAAAUAUUUUGCAGGUAGCAAGAGUCGAGUCUCAGUACAGGUUCAAGGUUCGUAGAGUUCACUAGGGGCCUUCUAUGUCCAAGGUUGGAUUACAGAUUCGCCAAAUGUAAUUAAUUUUUUUUUUGAGUUGUUAAUAGGCUGUAUAAUUUCUUCAUAAAGCUUUUGGUUUAUUAUAUGAAUUAUAUAUUCGUGUUGGA